AGUGCCGGCGUUUGUCGGUAUUAUUGGGCGUAAGCGCGCGCAGGCGGUUCCUUAAGUCUGAUGUGAAAGCCCCCGGCUCAACCGGGGAGGGUCAUUGGAAACUGGGGAACUUGAGUGCAGAAGAGGAGAGCGGAAUUCCACGUGUAGCGGUGAAAUGCGUAGAGAUGUGGAGGAACACCAGUGGCGAAGGCGGCUCUCUGGUCUGUAACUGACGCUGAGGCGCGAAAGCGUGGGGAGCGAACAGGAUUAGAUACCCUGGUAGUCCACGCCGUAAACGAUGA
rnacentral:rRNA from 1 species